CGUCGGCAAACAUUCGCCAUUACCAGACACGCGCGCACGCACACACACGCGCGCUUUUGCCAUUGUCUUCUGUGUGUGUUGCACGACUGUAAUCUAUACACGGCAGCAUAAGCGCUAUAGACGACGUACUAUAUAGUAGUAAGGUCGUGUGUACAGUAGAUAUGUUUCAAAUGAACUUAUUGAAGGAGGGAGGGAGGAAGGAAGACAAGGCGGAAGUUAAAAAAGGAUGGUAGGAAGAAUGGAAGGAAGGAAGCCUGGAAAGAAGGAAGAUCCAGAUCCACUUUCAAGCAACAGCCAGCACUAUCGUGCAGAAACAGCCGCAUUCCCCGCAAAGUUUGACGCCCCUGACAUCACAUCGAAGCCAACAGAAAGCGAACAAAGCGAACGAAUGAACUCAAAUGCGGUGGCAGAAGCAGAAUCUCUGCAAAAGCGCUGCGCAUCUGCGUCGCGCGGAGCCCGAGGCUAGCUACAAGUAGCGGAGGU